rnacentral:misc_RNA from 1 species
UCUCCGUUGGUGAACCAGCGGAGGGAUCGUUACCGAGUUUACAACUCCCAAACCCCUGUGAACAUACCAUUUGUUGCCUCGGCGGUGCCUGCUUCGGCAGCCCGCCAGAGGACCCAAACCCUUGAUUUUAUACAGUAUCUUCUGAGUGAAUGAUUAAAUAAAUCAAAACUUUCAACAACGGAUCUCUUGGUUCUG